GUAAAAGGGGAUGCAGGCUUGGGAAUGGGUACUGACUGUCCCCAAAGUAAAUCCCCUUAGCAUGAUCCAAGGGGGACCAGUGUCAUCUCUCUGAGAAAAGAAAAUGACAGCAACCAAGGGGGUCAUCGCAUGGUACCAUUUUUGACUAUUCUGUUUUAGUCAGCUUUUCUUAAAAAAAAAGCAAAAACUAUUUGGUUGACUAUUAACUCUGAAAGAAAAGCAGAAAGGAGAUGGGCAUGGGAGGAGAGUGGAGAGGAGGAGAACGAGAGAAGUGGCUGUCAACACCCAGGCCCCGGCUCUCUUGUUCCCCCUCCUUCUUGCUAGUGGCUCCAUGGGCCUGUCGUCAGGCAUCCAGAGGAGCCGCUGUCUGAGCCCCAGCCCAGCUGCUGGGGUCCCUCAGAGCCCAGAGGAGAAGCCCGGGUCCCGCUCUUUCCAGCCCCUGCUCCCACUCACAUGCGGGACGGGGUCCAGGGAAGACCUCAGCAGCCUGCACCUCGGGCUCAGAGCACCUAACGCAGGGAUGGGUCAUCCUGCCUGGCUCAAGGACAUUUGAGUCUGCCCUGGGCACCAUGCCCAUCUCAGUUGACAACUGCAGAUGAGGCCGCAGCUGAGGAGAGUUGACAAGCACACUUCUGCUGAGGAGCCAGGCCCAGCCCUGAAGGAAGGAGCUCAGCCCUCCAGACAGCACAGUUGCCAGCCACGAGGCACGCAGUGACAUUGGAUUUGGAGCCAUGACCUUGGGAAUCCACAUCGGAUCUGUAGCAGGCAUGGCCUUCACCUCACAGAGCACUCUGACAAUGUCGUCUGCUCUCUGGGGCCUCCUGGGAGGCCUUUCCCUGCCAGGCAUCUUUUCCCUGCCCCCCCCCCUCCUGCCCUAAUUCAAACCAUCCCAUUUCUUCAUCCCUCUGUAUCCAGAUCUCCAUUUGGGUUUACCUGCUUGGAUCUGCUCCGCUGGAGAGCCUGGCUGCUCAGAGCCCAGAGCCUCUCCCAGCCCUUUAACAUGAGAUGAGAGGCUCCCUCGCCUCGACAUUCCACCAACACAGCUCCUUUCAACUUCUGUCUUCCCCUCGGGCAAAAUCAGCAGCAAAGACCGUGCUAAGCUGAGUGGCCUAAGCCCCUCCUUUGAUUCUCAGGCCCCAAGAGCCACCCAGGCGCCAGCAAACUGCUAAGAUGCAUCACCAGACCCCUUGCUGGUAUCAUAAGCAUUUUUCCUGUCUCAGCAAACUGACAGGACUUGGCUACCCCAGGAGGGGAGCAGAGAGCUCCCCAGGCCUGGAGAGAACAGAGGAGCGCUGGUCGAUGGCUCCCUUGUCCCCUGUCACCAAUCCACGGAAACUUCCAAGACGGAGGUAGGGCCUGCACUGCCUCCAUUAAUGCAAGGAGCCAGAGGGCUGCAGGGAAGGAUGGAAGAGUCCCUGUGGGUGUCACAUACACCAAAAAGAGAAAGCACCUACGAUGGGUGUUGACAGGGAAACAGAUCCUGCCAAGACUCUGCCAAAAAGCAGGCCCUCCGCGUGUGCCCUGAAACCAUCGCUUUGAACAAUGAUCACAUCAAAGAAAGGGAGUUUUUAUGGACACUCUGGAGAGGAAUGGUUUUGAUACCUAAUCUGUCCAGCACGGCCCCCUGAGCAGUAGGUACCAACAGGUGGCACGCAGCAAGUCUGAAGCUCGGCCCCCUUGCUGGGCAAACCCAAGUGUGUAAAGCCCGAAAGGCAAGUGUCAGCUUGGGAGCCUCCUCUCCAGAUCCUAACCCUGCGCGGGAACAAGAGUACAGGAAACCCAGGCGCGUGCUUCCCAAGUGCUCUUCUGGCGGGCGGAUUCCCUGUCACCUCACAUGCUCCCCUGGGCCUGAGGCUUGAGGGCAGUAGGAGGCAGCCACGUGGGGAUGGGGUGACUGGGUGACCCAGAGGUUUCCAAGAGGUCAUGUGACCUCUUGGCUCGAACUUGACCUCCCUAUGCUUCAUGGAUUCUUGCUU
rnacentral:lncRNA from 1 species